GCCGAUGUGGCUCAGUUGGUAGAGCAGCUGAUUCGUAAUCAGCAGGUCGUGGGUUCGAGUCCCAUCAUCGGCU
rnacentral:tRNA from 1 species